rnacentral:tRNA from 1 species
GAGCAUAGCUCAGCUGGGAGAGCGCUUGCCUUACAAGCAAGAUGUCAUAGGUUCGAGUCCUAUUGUUCCC